GUCUAUUUGGAGUUAUAAAUAGUCUGGCCUGCCCACUGAUUUAAAUAUUAAAGGGCCGCGGUAUUCUAACCGUGCAAAGGUAGCAUAAUCACUAGGUUUUUAAUUAAAAUCUUGUAUGAAUGGUUCGACAAAAGAAAUUCUGUCUUUAUAUUAAUUUUUGAAUUUAACUUUUAAGUGAAAAGGCUUAAAUAUAUUAAAGGGACGAUAAGACCCUAUAAAACUUAACAUUGUAAAUAUAUUUAAUUAAAUUUUUAAAAUAAAAAUUUUAUAAAAUUAAAUGUUUUGUUGGGGAGACAAAGGUAAAAAAUAUUUUAACUGCUUUAUAUUAAAACAAAUAUUUAUGUAAAAUUAAAAAUGAUCCUUUAUAAAGAUUUCAAAAUUAAGUUACUUUAGGGAUAACAGCGUAAUUUUUUUUAAGAGUUCUUAUCGAAAAAAGAGUUUGCGACCUCGAUGUUGAAUUAAAAUAUCUCUAUAGUGCAGAAGCUUUAGAAGAAGGUCUGUUCGACCUUUAAUUUUUUACAUGAUUUGAGUUCAGACCGGUGUGAG
rnacentral:rRNA from 1 species